ensembl:lincRNA
CCACCUUCUCAGCUCCUCCCCCAGGGUGAUCAAAAGGGACUCAGGUGACAGGAGGGGCCUCCACAGAGGCCACAUGGCCUGGAGUGUCCACCUCCCACCACCGCUGCUGCUCCUGCUGCUGUUUCCAGGUGAGGCGGGGCAAGGGGAGCCAGGACAGGUGACUGACAGGGGACAGGGGGCAGGGCAGGUGUGACUGUGCCUCUCUGCCUUGUUCCCCAGGCUCCUGGGUGCGCUCAGACGAGGCCAUAUUUCAAAGAGUGGCAGGAGACACGCUGACAGUGAUAUGUAACUACCCAGCAGCCUCCCGCGAGUCCUACAAGGAGAAGGCCUUGUGUCGGGAGGUGGCAGGAUUCACAUGCGGCAAGCUCACGGAGGAGGACUCCGGAUACUACUGGUGCUCCCUGCUCGAAGUUUCCAGCAACACUGUGCUCAACUCCAUCAAAUUCUACGUGGCCGUGUCACCAGCCCCCACCCAGGCCCCCGGGGCUGCCCGCAGCCCCACCUCCUCAAACACCCAGAGCUCUACACUCCCAACAGCAGGAACCACGGAGGCCCUCAGGGCUCCAUCUGCCUUCACCCCACUGGCUUGGCCCCAAAAUGUCACCCUUUGCCCUGACCUUGCAGACUCCUGCGCCCUGGGCCGCGGGCUCUGUGGACUCCUUCUCACCAAGAGCCUGGUGCUGCUGGCCCUGCUAUGGACCUUGAGGAGCAGAUGUGUGCAGCGUAGAGGGGACCUCCUGGGGAACCAGCCCCAGCCCUGGGAGCUCAGGGCUGCCCUGAGCCCACAGAACCUGAAGCAGACACCCAGGGUCCCCCAAAUCUGUACCCCUAGGAGCUGCUCUCUGACCUCUGAACCCUGCAGUCCUGCAAAGACAAGGCCAGAGCUCUGCGGCAGCCCCUCCGGCCAACCCUGAGGGUCUUCCUUGAGACCCUCCACUGGGCCAUGCCAGCCUGCCCCCCGGGCUGCCAUCAUCUCAUAGGGGCAAAGCCCAGUGUGACAUUUCAGUAGCACCCGUUAAGACCCUGGAGACCAUUCUUCCCCCGCCACCUCUGAGACAAGACGUGGCUGAGGGGAGCCCACUCUCUGGGCCAGCAGCACCCUCUGAGCCCAGCACUGGCCCAGGACCAGGAUGCCUGAGUCUAAACAUGGUGGGAGACAGCGACCAGCUGUCUCAGCUGAUGUACAAGAUCCCUCGUGACCCAGGCCGUCCUCUGCAGCUGCUGGGGAUCCUAGCCUUAAUUACCAUCUCAUUGACUAUGCAGAUUAGACCCCGCCCUCUGCGGGCUACAGACCCCCUGACAGUUCCUCCAAGGCUCAUAAGAGGUCGAGACUCCCACUGCCCAACAGAGGGGGCCAAGCCAAGCCCUCAGACCACAGUCCCACCCCAAACCCGGAGGCUUCAGACCCUCGGCACCUAGCUUGCUGCCCAGAGCUCUGCUGCCGGCCUCUUCUGCCCAGGGCAAUGGGCUUUCGCUUUCAAAUAAAUCUUUGAUUCUGC